GAUCCUGGCUCAGAAUCAACGCUGGCGGCGUGCCUAACACAUGCAAGUCGCACGAGAAAGGGACUUCGGUCCUGAGUACAGUGGCGCACGGGUGAGUAACACGUGAAUCAUCUACCUCCGAGUGGGGAAUAACCUAGAGAAAUCUGGGCUAAUACCGCAUAACACUUACGAGUCAAAGCAGCAAUGCGCUUGGAGAGGAGUUCGCGGCAGAUUAGUUAGUUGGCAGGGUAAUGGCCUACCAAGACGAUGAUCUGUAUCCGGCCUGAGAGGGCGCACGGACACACUGGAACUGAAACACGGUCCAGACUCCUACGGGAGGCAGCAGUGGGGAAUUUUGCGCAAUGGGGGAAACCCUGACGCAGCAACGCCGCGUGGAGGAUGAAAUCCCUUGGGAUGUAAACUCCUUUCGAUAGGGAAGAUAAUGACGGUACCUAUAGAAGAAGCCCCGGCUAACUUCGUGCCAGCAGCCGCGGUAAUACGAGGGGGGCAAGCGUUGUUCGGAAUUAUUGGGCGUAAAGGGUGCGUAGGCGGUUUGACAAGUCUUAUGUGAAAUCUUCGGGCUCAACCCGAAGUCUGCAUGGGAAACUGUCGGGCUUGAGUAUGGGAGAGGUGAGUGGAAUUUCCGGUGUAGCGGUGAAAUGCGUAGAUAUCGGAAGGAACACCUGUGGCGAAAGCGGCUCACUGGACCAU
rnacentral:rRNA from 1 species